GGUUUGAGGUUUCCUCGGCAGUUAACUGCUGAAGUUUUCAGUUUUCCUCGGUAGUUAACUGCCGAAGUUUUCCUCGGCAAUUAACUGCCGAGGGGUAUUUGAGUAAUUUACUCGUGUGGCACAGCCAAACCAAAAGUGGGAACAACAAUUCUCAAUGAAAAAUAGGACAUCUCCCCCUUUAGGGUUAUUUUAUUUAGGGUUAAUUAUGUUUUCGGUCUCUACAAAAUUGCGAUCUUGUAAGUUUACUCCUUAUUUAAUUUUAAUAGUGUUCUAA
rnacentral:lncRNA from 1 species